AACUAACGCUGGCGGCGUGCCUAACACAUGCAAGUCGUACGAGAAAGUUGGCUUCGGCCGAUGAGUAAAGUGGCGCACGGGUGAGUAAUGCGUGGAUAAUCUGCCCUUUAGUUGGGAAUAACGUACCGAAAGGUGCGCUAAUACCUGAUAAUACUGCAUAACUACUGUUGUGUAGUCAAAGAAGGCCUCUGUUUACAAGCUUUUGCUGAAGGAUGAGUCCGCGUACCAUUAGCUGGUUGGUGGGGUAAUGGCCUACCAAGGCUACGAUGGUUAGCUGGUCUGAGAGGAUAAUCAGCCACACUGGAACUGAGACACGGUCCAGACUCCUACGGGAGGCAGCAGUGAGGAAUAUUGCGCAAUGGGGGCAACCCUGACGCAGCAACGCCGCGUGAGUGAGGAAGGUUUUCGGACCGUAAAGCUCUGUCGAGCGGGAAGAAAUGUAUCAUGGCUAAUAUCCAUGAUACUUGACGGUACCGCUAAAGGAAGCACC
rnacentral:rRNA from 1 species